rnacentral:lncRNA from 1 species
AGCAGGUGCUGGUGGGUGAGGUGUGUGUGGCAGUGCUGUGGGAACGUGAAACUUCCCCUGAACCCAAGAAGGCAGCUGAAAAUAUGUUAGUCACUUUUGAGGAUAUAUGUGUACCUUUAAAUAUUUCUCCACAGAGUUAAUUAGAAUUAUACGGUUUCUCUAAAUAAAUGACAAUAUUUGCUACUGAGUCCGGUUUAUGUUUCAUUUAGUUACUGGAAUACUCUGAAAUAUAGCAUUGAGUAAACAUUCACUUAAACAUUUCUAUAGACAAGAGGUUAAAAAAUAAAGAACAUAUUUCUGACUGUGAUCAAUCUCAUUCUUAUUUUACAAAAAGACUGAUGUGUAGUUUUUUCUUGUGCUAAAACAUGGAAUUUUAAUGGAUGUGGGAAGAUUUGUACUUACCUACUAUUGCUUAAGAUAAAUUUAGAUAUAGAUAAUUAGAUCUCUACAUUUAUGAUAAAUCAUUCAAGAUCUUUUGACAGGUCUAUACCCUAAGUAAUUAGCACUAUAUUUAUUUUGUGUAAAUCAGUAUAAUUCUGUGAAACUCAUCAAAAUUUAAUGCUUUUUUUUAAGUCCUAGAAAACAUCAGUGUGACCAUUUAAAAAAGAAGGUUUAUGAACACAAUAAAAGUGAGAAAGUUUUUCAUAAAGGCUCAAAAUGUAUCCAUCCAAACUUUCAUAACCAAGAAAAGAAUUAUCAAUGUAAGGAAUGUGAAAGAGCUUUAAAUAAACUUGACAGCAUUACUGAACAUCACAUAAUUCAUACUGGAGAGAAGCCCUACAAAUGUAAAGAAUGUGGCAAAGCUUUUAAUCAAAGAGCACACCUUUCUCGUCACCAAAGAAUUCAUACUGGAGAGAGGCCAUACAAAUGUGAAGAAUGUGGUAAAGAUUUUAAUCGAAAAUCACACCUUAUGCAUCACCAAAGAAUUCAUACUGGAGAGAAGCCAUAUGAAUGUAAAGAGUGUGGCAAAGCUUUUAAUCAACCAUCAUCCCUUACUCGUCACCAGAGAAUUCACACUGGAGAGAAGCCAUACAAAUGUACAGAAUGCGGCACAGCUUUUGCUCUCAAGAAAACUCUUACUGAUCACCAGAGAAUUCAUACUGGAGAGAAGCCAUACAAAUGUAAAGAAUGUGGUAAAGAUUUUAAUCGAAAAUCACAUCUUAAUAUACACCAGAGUAUUCACACUGGAGAGAAGCCACACAAUUGUAAAGAAUGUGGCAAAGCAUUUAAUCGAAGAUCACGUCUUAUACAACACCACAGAAUUCAUACUGGAGAAGACAUAGAAUGUAAAGAUUCUUUUAUUCCUACAUUCUUGGCAAAGCCUUAUAGGUCACCAGAGAAUUUAUACUGGAGGGAACCCAUACAAAUAUAAAGAAUGUGUCAAAACUUUCAGUCAAAUUUCCAGCCUCAACGUUGACCAGAAAAUUUAUACUGGGGAAGAACCAUACAAAUGUGAAGAAUGUGGCAGAGUUUCUAAGUAUGUUUCAAGUGUUAUGAAGUACCAGAGAAUUCAUAGUUGAGAAUUUUUGGAAAUCUAUAAAAUGAAAAGUUAUUUAAUGUACAAUCACACCUUAUUGAUCACCAGACAUUUUAUACUAGAAAGACAACUUACUAUACUAAAAAGAAAUGUGGCAAAGUUUUAAUCAAAACUCACCAUUUAAAAAUUAUCAAAGAAAUUAUAGUAGUGAUUACACCCUACAAAUGUAAACAAUGUGACAAAGCUUUUAAUGAAGGUUCACGUCUUAAAAAAUCUACAGAUUGAGUAUUAAAGAGAAGCCCUAUAAAUGCCAAUGAUACAUCAGAGCUUUAGUCAAAAUUUUUUAAAAAGCAUACUCUAUCAAAACCUAAUGCAUACAAUGUGUGCAGAAAACCCUGUAACUUGCAUGCCUUGCAUAUCAGGAAAAUAUACAUUAUUGAGGAAAAUUUUGAUCUAUAAGAAAUAUAGCAAGGUGUUAUAUUGCAUAUGCUUCUGAAUAUAAUAAUUUUCAGGGAGAUUAUAUAUUAAUAGAGAAUGUGAUAUUACUUUUGUAGUAGCUUAAAAUUUAAUUGGCAUAACUAGUUAAUGUGAUAGAAAUAAAGAAAUUCUUAGAUAACACCAUGGUACAGACUGUCAGGAACUGCCCUGGAUGCAGAUCCCUUCAAUUUUUGAUGCACCAGGUUCUGAACAAUUACUGUCUUUAGUCUGGCAUGGUAGUCCCAGGUCACAGUAACUUUGGAGUUACCCCAGCUAGGAUAACAAGGUAUGCCUCCAGGAGUAGGUGUUACCCACUGAGGUUGAGUUACACUCACCUGUUCCUUUGUAAUCCUAACCCUUUGUUCUUUUGGGGAUAGAAUGUUCCAUGGAACUUCCCCUUGUGUAUCUCCUAUAUAAGAAUAAAUAAUUCCAGUGGCUCUCUCUUUCCAUGGACCUUUAAGGUUGGAGAGCCAUCACGGACUCUGAGAAGUUACUACUGUGUGCUUGUUGUGAUUUUUUUUUUUUUUUUUUUUUUGUCAUUUUCUUAACUUGUUGGAAUAGUCGAAUUUUGUGAAGCCAGAAUUCAGUCUCCAGUUAGGGUAGAUGGCAAUAAAUGGAGGCCCAAUUGGGAUUCCAGCAUAAAUUUUAGAAAUUUAGUGGGUUUGGUAUUUUUCUCCAGAAGUUAAGCCUACUUAGGAUUUCAGGGUAUUAUCAGUUAAGUUGGAGAAAAUAAGUGAAUUAGAAGAAAAACGAUGUAACAUUAAACUUAUAAUAUCUGGAUUUUUUUUUUCCUUUAGAAACAGCAAAAAUUUUACUUUCUGCAACUCUGGGGAAAAUAAAUAGACAUAAAAAAUGAGAAAUUAGAAAAUUCAAAGUACCACAGAAAUUAAGAUGAUAAGGAAUAUGUUGCUAAGUUUUGCCCUCUUCCAUGGGAAAAGUGAUUUAUAGAUUUUUUUAAAAAAUUUUAUAUUUUGAAAUAUUAGGUAAAGAUUUUCUGAGUUAUAUGUCAGGAAUCCACACUUGGAGAGUGAGAAAACAAAAGAAAAGUUGUUUUUUAUUGUUGUUGGUUUUUGUUUGUUUGUUUAAUGGUAAGAUUGUUACAAGGUGGGGGGGUGGAUUUUUCUACUUUUAAAGAGGCAUUUAUUUUUUCCAGCUGUUUUGGGACAGAUGCAGGGCUUUGACCGCUGCCCCCUGUGGUGCUGCCAGAUUAUUCUGCCACUUGAAAACACUAGUUUAACUGGGCACACGUUGCCUUAGAAUUUGGUAAUGGUGGCAUCAUCUGCUGAGGGGCGCAUUUUUUAUGUUAAAAGAAUUUUUGAGAUGCUCCCAGGAGAGUGAGCACUAAGGAAACAAAAUGCAGGGAGAUGGUCCUUUGAGAGAAGACUAUCCACUUACCCUGGCUCCACAGUUCACAGAGUGGGAAAUGACAAAAUUUUGGCAUGGCCAUCCAAGCACAGGCCCACUAGCACCAGCAUAAACUGUUGGCACUUCCCUGGCAGUAUCCCAAGCAGGAACACACCAGGUAAGACCUGGACAUCUGGGAAAAUUUGGGGAGCAAACACAAGGGCGGGGUCACAGGGCAAACCCAAGCUGGAGUCAGCAGCUGCAGCCAUGACCAUCAGCCCCGCUUCUCCUGCCUCAUGCCAACUGGCCCAUUAGCCAGGGGAAUACAAGGUCACCGCUUCAACCUCCCGGACCCUGGGGAAUGGCGAAGUGCCACAAGAUGUGGGUCGCAGAGGGACUACAGGUGGGGGAAGGUAGACUGAUUGAAGGGAGUAUGACCCAUUGGGUAAGUUUCCAGGGCACUUACCCCAAGCAGGACCCUAUGGUGUGCAACAAGCCCAGCCCCCACGGGGUGAAUGUGGAUGCAAAGCCCGCCCCAGUAGGGAGAACCCAUUUCUUGCACAGCCACAAUGUCAGGUGCAGCCACAGCUGCUGGCAAUGGCCAUACCCACUGGCCAUAUGCUGUUUUCUCACCAUGACAACCACUGGCAAAAGCAGACAGUACACGACAAGCUACCAUGGGGUUUGGCCAGAUCUGCUGGUAAUAGCACAUGCGGAUACACAAGGUUUCAAACAGGGCUUUUUGGUCCUGGCUUGCAACCAUUAACCUGUACUUUCUGUUUCACACAGGGCUGCUCCGGAAGCUACACAGAGCCUACAUUUUACUUAAGAAUGCCCACCUGUAAAUACUAACAAAAGAUAUCCUUUUCAGGCAAAAUUUAAUUUCAUGUUCCUGCCUGUAUCCUAAUGUGUUCUCAAGCUUAAAAAAAAAAAAAAAAAUCUGAUUUUUAUCCCUCACCAGGUUCUUAGAAACUUUUGAUAGCUGUUUUAUUAAGAAAAGUUGCAGAGGUACUAUAGUAAUUAUAAGAGGUUAUAAGGAUUAGUGUUCUCCAAAUUAAUGUUGUACAUGACACCUACUUAAAGGAUAAUAUUCUGAGAUAUAGAGAUAUUUUAAGACAUUCUCUCAGAGAUUGGGGGGUUCUACUUAAAUUGUUAGGAUGAAUCAGCUAGUCUAUAUUCUGGGAAAUUACAAUAAUCAAUAAAAAGUAUCUAAUUUUCAUAUCUAGCCUCAACUACUAUCAUCAAAGAAGGGCUUAAAAAAUUGAAAGAUUGAAGGAACCUCUAAAACUUAAUAUAGACCAAAACAAAUUGAGAGAGAUUUUUUAAAAGGUCCAAAUAAAUGUACUGUAGGGUUUCAGAAUGUAUGCCAGAUGUCUAAUCUUACCUAGAGAAAUAUGCUAGUACUUGGCUAAACAAUGAAAAGAAGGCCAUCUUAAAAACAGUUUUAAAGGAGAUUUAUCUUAACCAUGUUCCACUAACACAGAAUAGGGACAAGCCUGACAGUUUGGAGCAGACAGUUCUCCAGGAUAGAUUGGUAUCUAACAGAUAAACAAAAUGCCUGAAAUAUAAUUUUAGGGGCUGGGACUGUAGCUCAAUGGUAGAGUGCCUGCCUCACACAUGUGAGGCACUGGGUUCAGUCUUCGGCAACACAUAAAAAUAGAAAUAUUUUGUGUGCAACUACAACUAAAAAAAAAAAUUUAAAAAGAGUUUUUAAAAAAUCAUAAUUAAAAGUCUUUAGAAAAAUUUACUAUUUUUCAUAGAGAGACUUUAAAAAGAUAAUACAGUACCUUCAACUUAUAGGGGGCCACCCAUUUGAAAAGAUGUGUUUAUCUCCAGUUAGUCCUAGAUAUUCCAAGGGAUUUACAAAGGUUAACAUAAUUCUAGCCAAGUUUAGAUGUUACAGCAUAGUUAAAUGCAGCCCAAAUGAAGAAACAGAAAGACAAAUGCAGAGAUUAAAAUGGUAGUCAUAGCUCCAAGAGAAAUAAAUUUCCUGGGUAAAAUGUUUGCUCCUAAGUUACAGAUUUUGAAACCCCCUUAACAUUAAAACAGGGCCUUACUUCAAGCACCUGGCAACAGUUUAUUACUGAAAAAGAAAGGAAAAAAAAAGUCUGAAAAUAAUUAUGCCUAAAAUAUUAGACAAACAGCCAUAAAUAAAUCAGCUCAAUAGUCAAUAGCAUAUUUCAAUAAAAAAGCUAACAUAAUAGACCUUUUCUCAACUUUAAUAAUAUCUGACAAUGUCCUACAUACAUUGAUAUUUUAAAAUUAAUAAAACCAUAAUUAUACAUAAUUAUUAGCUAAUUUUACUACAUUAAAUAAGGUAUUAAGGGUGUUCAUACAACUGUUUUUUUUUAAUGCACAAAGAUUAUUUGUAAUAGAUCCCUAAAAAUGUUAUUGCUAGCUCAAUGUCAUAAAUUCUAAAUUAGAUCACUGUCUUAAACCACAUUGUGGACUUGUUUUUACCCAUUAACAUUUGAGAUACUAAUUCCCCCUACUUAGGUCAGCACUAAGUUGAUAACCAUAAUGCCAGUUUUUCAUGGAUUCAUAGAUAAAAGACUGUUCAUUUCUCUAUUUCAUUCUUUAUUAAUUGUAAUAAACAAAAUAUCUUCUCUAGGCUUAUUUAACAUAUGUACUUCCUAUUUUGGAUAGAUGUCUAUAUAUUUCUCAUGUCCCUAGUAAAGACCACCAAUACUACAUUAAUAUCUCUUGUCUCUUGCUUCUUUCCAAAUUAAGAUAAAUAUUUAAGUUAAUCUAGAGCUAAUUUCAGCCUGCAAAUAUUUAUAUACAACUUAUUGUAUUCUUUAUUUUUGGUAAUUCUGUUAAAGUCAAAAUCAAGUCAUACAUUUAGUAAAGGGUAAGUUUCUAUUUACCUUGUUCCCAUUAAAUAACUUCUGUCAAGUUUCACAACCACCUAGAGAUAAUAAAUCUUUUCUUAUUAUUUAAAUACUUGUACUACAUUAAACAUUGCCUGUAUAACUUAAAACUAAUGAUACUAUGGCUUAUGCCAAGCCUCUACUCAAUUUUUAUUAAAUAAAAAGAUGGGAAAAGAGAACCCCAUGGCACAUAAUAGAUGUUACAAAAUAUUUUUUAAAUUUUUCUUAAUUGUGAUAUUGGGAGUCUUACUUCUUCUGAACAUGAUUAGUAAGUUAAAUCAAAUUUCAAAAGAGUUUAAACUGGUCAUUGUGGAAAGGUUGAAAAACCUCACACAGGAAGAUAAAUUUCCAGCUGCAUAGUUUACAGCCAUGCAGCUUCAUGGGCUUGUCAGGUAAGUAAAAAUUAUGAACAAACAUCCAUGGACCCAUUUCUCAAGUCCACCCUCAAAGAAAAAUACACACACACACACACACACACACACACACACAUUGUAGUUGGACACAAUACUUUUAUUUUAUUUAUCUUUAUGUGGUGCUAAGAAUUGAACCCAGUGCCUUGUACAUGCUAAGCAAGUGCUCUACCACUGACCCACAAACACAGCCCCUCAGGUCCACCUUUGAUGUUCCUUGCAGUGAAGACUGGAAAGUCUAGGCAUGCAACUAUAUGAAUUUUACUGAUUGUAAUCGUCAGUUAUAGCUAUAUGUUGAUCUUAUGGUAAUCAGGCUGUCUGGCAGUAUCUUUUGAGAAAAAGACAGUAUAUGAUAACCCUAAACAAGCCAAUUAUGCUGAUCCUUACAAAUUAAGACUCUCUCUCU